UGAGCUACCCCCGUUUGACAGGACGACACACGGAAGUCUCGGCAGAUCUCACCGAGGUGCCGGACAACAGGAACGAUGAAGAUAAUAUGUGUUGUAUAGUUAUACCUUACAGCAGGUGCGGUAUCAGGUGCACCCAGUGCCAGUCCAGUGUUGUCUGCAGUGUCUUACACAGCCAUGUUCAGCUGGGAGAUUCCACAGGGAGGUCUGGGGACUGCAUUCUUUACUGUCAGUCCUACUGGUACUGCUGUGUUCACAGUGUUUGCUGAUGAGAAAUUCGAGAUAACCACCAGCUACAGAGACAGACUGGUGUACCAGGGGAACAGAGCAGCCAGGAAUGUCACCUUCACCCUCAGCAACAUCCAGACAUCAGAUGCAGGAACAUACACGUGUGGGGAUGGAGGGA